rnacentral:rRNA from 1 species
UACGUAGGGGGCAAGCGUUGUCCGGAUUUAUUGGGCGUAAAGAGCGUGUAGGCGGCCAUACAGGUCAGCUGUGAAAACUCGAGGCUCAACCUCGAGACGUCGGUUGAAACCGUAUGGCUAGAGUCCGGGAAGAGGAGAGUGGAAUUCCCGGUGUAGCGGUGAAAUGCGCAGAUAUCGGGAAGAACACCCGUGGCGAAGGCGGCUCUCUGGGGACGGUACUGACGCUGAGACGCGAAAGCGUGGGGAGCGAACAGG